rnacentral:rRNA from 1 species
GCGUGAGUGAAGAAGGGUUUCGACUCGUAAAGCUCUGUUGUCGGGGACGAAUGCGGAGAUGGUGAAUAACCAUUUUCAAUGACGGUACCUGACGAGGAAGCCACGGCUAACUACGUGCCAGCAGCCGCGGUAAUACGUAGGUGGCGAGCGUUGUCCGGAAUUAUUGGGCGUAAAGGGAGCGCAGGCGGGAAGGUAAGUCUAUCUUAAAAGUGCGGGGCUCAACCCCGUGAGGGGAUGGAAACUAUCUUUCUUGAGUGCAGGAGAGGAAAGCGGAAUUCCUAGUGUAGCGGUGAAAUGCGUAGAUAUUAGGAGGAACACCAGUGGCGAAGGCGGCUUUCUGGACUGUAACUGACGCUGAGGCUCGAAAGCGUGGGGAGCGAACAGGAUUAGAUACCCUGGUAGUCCACGCCGUAAACGAUGAAUGCUAGGUGUAGGAGGUAUCGACCCCUCCUGUGCCGGAGUUAACGCAAUAAGCAUUCCGCCUGGGGAGUACGGCCGCAAGGCUGCAACUCAAAUGAAUUGACGGA